CUCUAGGAUGUCAAGAGGGGGUGGCCCUAGGUCACCUCCUCCCACUGGAGGUGGUAAUAGGGGGAGCAUUGUGGGAACUAUUGGAAGGUCCUAGCUAGCAAUGAGGGCGCAGCAGCGGGUACCCAACCGACACGGAACACCAGGGCUUCGACCAAAUCUUUGGAGACCGCACGUAAGGCUAGAGAUGGAUCCAAAUCGUAGCCAACUGUCAGGCCAUCAUCCACCGGGGGAGGGAGGAAGACAACAUCUAAGAUAGGAUGCUCGGAGCGUAUUUUGCCCAGCUCAACUACGGUCAGCAUCUUUGUAUUAGGUCCAUUCCUUCGCAAGCAUUAUCCUUUGAUAAUGACUGUAGUUCAGAGCAUGAAACAAACAACUUGAAGACUGAGAUGGCGCAGCUGAAGCCCACACAUGUUUGAUGAACAACAUGGAGGAUGAGGAAAAUACAAGCCCUAGUUCGGACCUCCAACUUCAUGAGCUGCAGGUUCCUGUCCAGCCUCAGGGAUCACACAAAUUGUCAAAGGAAAUCCUUCUCUCAGAUGCCAUGAUCGAUUUAGAUAACAUACCUUCUGAGGUUAACCCAAAUAUAGAUGACCACAUAUCUGACUUGUUCGUGCCAUCUGCAAACGAGCCAUCGAAUUCUGCCCAGGUGUGUACGGAGAACGAUGUGAUCCUGUGUCGAGAUGUUGCUUCUAGUGGAUUGGCCCAUGCUGGGAUGGAUUGCGAUGCAUCUAGGAAGAUCAAGCUUUCUAACUGUAGGUGUGGAUAGCCACAUGUUCUUAUCACUCUUAAACAUGAAGCUACAAUUAGCUUCCCUCAAGGUGUUAGUGCUUUUACCCCAAUGGCCACCACAACCCCUAACAGAAAAAACCAGCUUCCCCUCCAUCUCAACCUGGUGGAAGUGUGUUUAGUGGGCAAUUUUUUGGGAAUAAGCUCCAACAUGUUCCCAUUGACUGAUUAAGCAAGGAGAUUUUCUUAGCCAAAGAUGGGCUAACUAUGGAACCUAAAAUCAAUGCAGUAAAUAAAAACAUUUCAGGGUUGGAGAAAUCCCUCAUAGCCAAGCUCGUUGGUAGACACGUUUUUUCCCCUAUAUUAUGAAUGAGUUCAAAAUGAGAUGGUACCAGUUUUGGAAAUUCCAAAUCACCACUACGGCCCCAAAUUCCCUUAUUUUUAUAUUCCAGUGCAUUUAAGCUCGAGAUGCAGUCCUUGCUAAUGGAUCGUGGAUUAUUGCUAAAAACAUUAUUGGAAUGGAUAAAUGGACUCCAUACUCCUCACGAAACUCUCUAAAUGUCCUCCAUUCACCAAUUUAGGUUCAGUUGCCCCAACUCCCAUUAUUGUAUGUGGAUACCUCCAAUAUCACUUGCCUUGUUAACAUGAUUAGGGAACCACUUUGGAUGGAUGCUCUCACUACCACUUGGGGAAGAUCUUUGUAUGCCCGCAUUUGUGUGAGGAUUAACCUCUCAUAAAAGCUUCUACCUGAGAUUUGGAUCAACGGUUUGCAUGGCAUAUUCUUCCAACAAAUCGAGUAUUAGGGGCUCUCAAACUUCUGCUUUGGUUGUAGACUCAUAGGACACACUCACCAAAGCUAUCCAGGCUUGGCUCCCCACUCUUCACCUCGGGCUCAUGUAGCCUCCCCCACUCCUACUAAGAAGCCAUCCACUCAUGGUCAGGAUAUGGAAGUCGUGGGUCCUUCCCUUUCUCCAAAGGAUGCCACUUCUUCACAGGUCAACCGCAUGGAGCAGCUUGCCAAUGCAAACAUUGUUCAAUUGGAUGAGUUAGGUGAUUGGAAAAUAGUCAAAAGAAGGAAGAGAGGAAACCAUAAGACCAAGAAGGAACAUGCACCAUUUCCAAGUCACACUGUUCAACGGAUCACUUUCUCCACUUCUAAGGAGCAACAAUUGGAGGACACUUCCCAUAGCAUACUCAACCUUCGGAAGCAACACCCUAUGGCCACUAUGGGCUCUGUCGCCAAGGACUUCAUGUAGCUAGGACCUCUCCCAUCUCUCCAAGAAAGAGGAAGAAGACUUCUAUAGAGUUUCUAGGUGGGGAUUUGGUUAUACAUAUGAUAAUAGAUAAAUAAUCUAAAUGACUUGAUCAAUAUUUACCUUCUUUAUUUGGUCAAAUAUGAUUAGUUUUUUGGAAUAAAUGUAUUUUGAUGUA